rnacentral:misc_RNA from 1 species
AAAGUCGUAACAAGGUAACCGUAGGUGAACCUGCGGUUGGAUCAUUAAUAAGAAAAAGGAUGGACUUCGGUCUGCCCUAUCAAAUGAAAACCUUUUGUGAACCGUUCUGUCUCUGGCGGCCGGGUGGACGCUGACUCUGUUUAGCUUCCAUCUGUCAGCUUGGGAAGCCAAGCCGUGGACAAACCGCCAACCACUUACUUUAACCCAUUGUUUAAUAUUCUGUCUGACAUUGCUUUGUAUGAAUAUACAAACAACUUUUGGCAACGGAUCUCUUGGCUCUC